rnacentral:rRNA from 1 species
UGCAGUCGACGAUGAGCUCACUUGUGGGUGGAUUAGUGGCGAACGGGUGAGUAACACGUGAGUAACCUGCCCUUGACUCUGGGAUAAGCCUGGGAAACUGGGUCUAAUACCGGAUAUGACUGAUCAUCGCAUGGUGGUUGGUGGAAAGCUUUUGCGGUUUUGGAUGGACUCGCGGCCUAUCAGCUUGUUGGUGGGGUAAUGGCCUACCAAGGCGACGACGGGUAGCCGGCCUGAGAGGGUGACCGGCCACACUGGGACUGAGACACGGCCCAGACUCCUACGGGAGGCAGCAGUGGGGAAUAUUGCACAAUGGGCGCAAGCCUGAUGCAGCGACGCCGCGUGAGGGAUGACGGCCUUCGGGUUGUAAACCUCUUUCAGUAGGGAAGAAGCGUAAGUGACGGUACCUGCAGAAGAAGCGCCGGCUAACUACGUGCCAGCAGCCGCGGUAAUACGUAGGGCGCAAGCGUUAUCCGGAAUUAUUGGGGCGUAAGGAGCUCGUAGGCG